CGAAGUUACAGGGGAUGCCAUUCCUUGGCUGGCAGCUUGGAGAAGGUCGGCAAUCAUUUUCAGGCAAAGCCCAUGGCAUGAGUUGGACUCCUCAUGCUGCCUGUGGCUUCAGUCACUCCAGGCAUACCAAUUCUCCAGGACGCUAUAAAGAUUUCCUAAUUAGACUUUUAUUGUGCUUGGAGACAUGAGGAUGAAGGCUGCUGGGCAGAGUGUGGCCAUGAUCUUAAAGAUCAAAGUCAGAUCUGGCGGCUUACUUCUGGAUCUUGACCUUAUUUUUGUAGAACUGAAUAAUAAUAAUAAUAGCAAAGGUGGAAAGAAGAGGCUUUGAAGUAUUAUAGUGGCCUAGUUAUGCUCUACCUGGGAAAUGCAAACAGCUGUGAGUAACUUUAAUUCUCUGCAGCAUAUCUGCUGAAAGGCUGACUGAACAUUCAGGACAAGCCUUAGAAUAAACAGGCUUGCCUGGAUUUAAAUGUCCAAUCCUUUGUGUCGAUCUUGGGGAAUUAAACAUAAUCAUGUAAACUAUUGAUUCAGGCCGGGCCUGCCAUGCUUGUCCACAGCUUCCCCCGCAGAUGUCUGGUUUCUGAGUUUGCUCAGCCAUGGGAAGGGUCCCUGUUUAGGAGGACCUGCCUUUAAUGUAUUCUUGCUUUUCUCCUAAAUGAGCAUUCACCAUGAUGCCUACAAUCACGUUAAAAUCUACUUAAAUCACCCAGGAAUGUUUAUAAAAUACUUAUAACACAAUAAUUGAACUUCACAAAUAAUAACCCAUAUUUCAUAGUAACAGCUUACAAUGACAUUUUUAUGUCCAUGAUCUCAUUUGACCUUAAACAGCCCUUUGAGGUGGGUAGAUGUUAUAACCUCCAUUUCAUAGAUGAGGAAAUGAAGGCACAGAGAGGGGGGAUUGGCUUAGAGUCAAAGUGUCAAAGAUACAGGUGAUCAUCUGGUUACAAACUGUCUUUUUCAGAUGGAAAACCCAGCUAGAAGAAAGAGGCUUGCCCAGUUCUCCUAAUGAUUGGAGCAGAGCUGACACGCCAAGGGCGUUUUCUUGCGGUUAUUUUAAGGAAGCCACCUGAAAUCUAAGACACUGUCCAUGUGAUCAGUGGCUUCAGUUCGAAUGUUCCUCGGGGUCAGAUCCUGGCCCGGAGCCUUUAACAUGUGACCACGGGGUUGUGUUGAGCCCACAAUUAUCCAAUUUAAAGCAAUGUAAAAGACGUAGAACCAAACUACUGAGGGUGGCACAUUCAGUCCUGGGAGAGGGACAGAGAAAACAGGUGGGGCAUUCACGGUGGUCCCUGGAGCUUCAGCCACUCCAGAGGGUUCUGGAAGGCUCCAUUGCCCACUCUCCUCUUUCCACACCCCCACCUCCACAACCUGUACUCCUCUCUGCCAGGAGCCUUGUCCUAGGCUUCAGGGUGGGAGAAGUCUCCGGUCCUGCCCCAUUCCCACGGCCUCACCCCACUGACCUCCUCACUACCUUUCCCCUCUCCAAAUCCGAAAAGGCUCUCCCAUUGCCAGGACACUGAAGAAUGGGAGACCCGCCAUACAGUCCUGUCCUCAAGGAGCCUGUGGCUCAGGGAGAGGAGAGAAGGUCAGAGCUGCGCAGAGCUGGCGGUGCUUCCCCAUGGUGAGUGAGCUCUCAGCAAAACGCCAGUGGAAUGUGGAGAUGGGCAGUGGUGGGAGUGGGGAGGAAUGCUUAGCAGGGAAGAGGAUAAUGCCCAUGAGCCCAGAGGGAGGAGUGGGAUUUGUGACUGCGGAAGGCAUUUAGGCUACAGGAAUCACAUGAGUCCCCUGGGGUCAAGUGCGCGCGCACGUGUGUGUGUGUGUGUGUGUGUGUUUGUGUGUGUGUGUGUGUGUUUGUGUGUGUGUGGUGUGUGUGUGUGUGUGUGUGUGUGUGUGUGUGUGUGAAGAUGAGAUAUAGGCAAGGGUCUGUCAUUAAGAGCUUGUAUAUCCAACAACUUUGACCUUCCCGUUGAAAACCGUGGGUUUGAAGGAUUUUGAGGACAGAGGGCCUGGUGCCCUGAGGCGAUGGUAUAGGAACUUCCUGCUGUGUGGUGUGGAGGAAGGAUGGGGGUGAGGAGGAUCUGAAGGCAGACAGAAGGUGAAAGAGGCUCUUGCAAUAGUCCAGGUGGGAUGAAGGCCUGGGCUGAGGGAGAGAUGCUGGGAAUGCAGAAAGGGCAGGUUCCAGGGAUAUUUCAAAGUAAUCACGAGGACAGUGAGAAAGAAGGAGUCAGAAACACAGGGCUGUGCCGGAGCAGCUGGUAUUGGCUUGGGAGACUGAUCGUGCAUAUCUUUUUCCAAUUCUGCUUUCAGGGAUGCAAUGCUGGUAGCUUUAAACCAGCUACGGUAGAAGUAUUAACACCACAGAAGUCAAGAGAGGCCUUUUCUCUGCAGAGAGCUGAUUGUUAAACAUUGACCAGCACACGUCUGCUGACACACCUGCGGCUUCUCCUGCUGUGGGUGGUCCUGAGGGCAGUGUUAGCUGGAGCUGCCUGAGGAAGCUUCAGAGGCAGGUGAGAUGGGCUUUGGGCAAGGGAUAGUUGUGGUAGCUGUGGGGUAAGGGAAGGCAUUUCUGGUGAACCUAACGGUGUGAGCAGAGGCCCCCCUACUUUGGGGGUAUCUUGGCACAGAGCAGGGAACUUAAGUGAUACUCAGUGACGAUCGUGGUCUAUUGUUACCUAAAUUAGGUCUUUACGUGUUGGUAGAUUGGAUGCACAAAUGAAAUGUUCCUUAAAUCCUGACAGGUACAUGGUGCCGGUUUGCCAAGAACCAGCCUAUGUGUGCCAGGAGUUCAGCUUUACAGAGAGUGUUCCCUGAACCCAGCUGCCAUGGUUCAUUAUUCACUUUAAGGGUGACUCAGAAAUCAGCUUAGAUUAUUAUUUAGCGGGAGAGGAAACUGAAUCGCAGAGAGUGCUUCCGAGACUUUCUUAAGACCACAGCCAGUUAAACCUUCAUCAGGAUUAGGACUUUGGAGUGAGAACUUGUAUUAGUUAUCCACAGCUACAUAAAACACUUCUCCCACAUUAAAAAAAAAAUAGUUAAAAAACUGCUUUUUUUUUCUUUUUCUUUUUUUUUUUUUUUUGAGACCAAGUCUCACUCAGUUGCCCAGGCUGGAGUGCAAUGGUGCAAUCUCAGCUCACUGAAACCUCCACCUCCCGGGUUCAAGCAAUUCUCCCACCUCAGCCUCCUGAGUAGCUGGGAUUACAGGCACCUGCCCUCAUGCCUGGCUAAUUUUUGUAUUUUUGUACAGAUGGGGUUUCACUAUGUUGGCCAGGCUGGUCUCGAACUCCUGACCUCAGGUGAUCCGCCCGUCUCGGCCUCCCAAAGUGCUGAGAUUACAGGUGUGAGCCACCGUGCCCAGCCUUGUUUUGUUUUUAACUAUGUUGCCCAGGUUGGCCUUGAACUCCUGGACUCAAGCCUCCUGAGUGGCUGUGAGGACAAGCACGUGCCACCAAGCUCGGCUUUUAAAAAUCAUUUUAAGUGGCUUACAACAAUAAUACACAUUUAUUAUCUCACAAUUCCUGUGAGUCAGGGAUGCAGGAGUGAUUUAACUGGGUGAAUUUGACUUGGGGUCUCUCAUGAAUUUGCAGUCAAGAUGUCAGCUUGGGCUGCAGUCAUCUGCAUGGGGCUGGAGGAUCUGUUUCCAAGGGGCCCCACUCACAAGGCUGACAAAUUAGCACUGGUUGCAUUGGUUGUGGGCAGAAGGCUUUAGUUCUUCACGGGCUGUUGGCAGGUGGCUUUGGAUCCUCACCAGGAGGGACUCUGUAUGGGGCUGCUUGUGCAUCCUCACAACAUGGCAGCCAACUUCCUCCUGAGUGAAUGAUCCAGGAGAGAUCAAGGUAGAAACUGCAAUGCCUUUUAUGACCUCACCUCAGAAGUCACACAUCAUCAUUUCCACAAUGUCACAGUGGUUAUACAAGUGAGUCCUGUUCAGCGUGGGAGGAAAUAACACAAGAGGCAAAGAUCACUCGGGACCACCUUGUAUAUUGGCUACCACAGAACCCAACACAAGCAGUAAGUUAAAAUCAUGAAGCUCCUGACGUCAGAGGACAUGGCUCUGCCAUUUGUUAGGUAGGGAUCCUGUUAAAGGCUCAGCUUCCUCAUCUGGAAAUGGAAAUAUAGGCCUUGCCUGGUUUGCUGUAAUGGGUCGUGAUGAGGACCAAACUACAAAGAGUGGUACAGAUGUUAAUUACAAUGAUUUUUCCUAUGCCACCCAUGGAAACAAAAAUAGCAAGAUAGAGAAGGCUAAAUCCCAGUUUUUUUUGACUGCUAUUCAGCAAAGCCUAGGAGACUUUCAUGACACCUGGAGAGGCGGCCGUAGUGUAUGUGUAAGAGUACCGGUUCCAGAGUGGGGCUCCCCGAGCUCAGCCCCACCACUUACCAACAGCGGACCUUGGGCCAGAUGCUGAAGCCCUUUGUGCCUUGGUUUCCUGACCUAUUACUGUGGAAAUGAUGACAGUACCCUCCUCAUGGCAUCGUGAGAAUUAAAUUAGCUAAUUCAGGUGAAGCAUUUAGAAGAGGACCUCCUGACACUUAAUAACUGCUUGAUAUAAAUAAUAGCUUCUGCUACAGAGUGGCCAUGAAGUCUGGACAUGUAGAUAUUAUAUUAUCAUGCAUCAUAAGGUAAUACCAACAAACCAUUUAUUAUAUAUUCACCUGUUUCCAGAUUUAAUAGCCAACCUAUAUUAGUGCUCUGGUCCUAAAUGUCCAUGCAGUUUACUGUGCUCUUUGGUUGUAUCUCUAAUCCAGGUAGUUGAUCUGGUGUGAGAUUCCAACCUCGUGUGAGAGAGGAGAAGACCUUCAUUACACUAAUUCAUGCUGGCCCAGCCUCCAGGCCACCCCAGAUGUGAGGUGCUGUUAACACUGCUCUCAGGUGCAUUGCUCAGCCCAGUGGGACCUUUUAUGACACCAGCACACAGAGUAGAACAGAUGUCCCUGUGCUAAGUUGAUUUUGCAAACUGCAGUGGCCAGCCCCAUAAUGGCAUAAAGAUGUGCUUUACCCCAAAGGGGACAGGGUAUUAGAAAACAGUUGAAAAGGCUUCUGAACAACAUGUGAGGGUGCCCGGGAGAGGAAUGCUCCAGAUAGGGAAGGUCUGGGGCUGCAGAGAUGUAGCCCAUGUUAAUAAGACACGUAACUCUGAGCACGUAAAACUCUUGAGCCUAGAAACUGGUAGCACUGAUGGCGUUUAAAUUACGUUAUGAAACAACUCUUUGAAAAUAAUUUAACAGUUUCUAUAAAUACCCAGCUCUCUGGUUUGUGUAAAGGCCUUUUUUUUUUCUUUUCUUUCUUUCUUUUUUUUUUUUUUUUUGAGACAGAGUCUUGCUCUGUCACCCAGGCUGGAGUGCAAUGGCAUGAUCUCGGCUCACUGCAACCUCUGCCUCCUGGGUUCAAGUGAUUCUCCUAUCUCAGCCUCCCAAGCAACUGAGAUUACAGGCGCCUGCCACCACGCCCAACUAAUUUUUUGUGUGGUUUUUUUUUUGUAUUUUUAGUAGGGACGGGGUUUCGCCAUGUUGGCCAGCCUGGUCUCGAACUCCUGACCUCAGGUGAUCCAUCCGCUUCGGCCUCCCAAAGUGGUGGGAUCACAGGUGCAAGCCACCGUGCCCAGGCUGCUAUCUUAUUUUCAAGAAUUUGACUCACGUCUUUCUGAAGAACAUCUAUCACUUAGAAUGGCUUUCCCAAAAUAUGUUUUUAGAACACUAAUCCCAUGGAAUGUUACGGGCAUGGCAUUAAAAAAGGUUUCAGUGAUCAAAUGAACUUGGGAAACACUGGGUCAAAUAUUCUUGAAGAUGUUUCUUUUUAAAAGAAAUUGUCAGAGCCUUUCAUAUGCUAAUAUGUCUCAUGAUUCUCUAUGAGUGAUAAAAUCUAUAGUUUCCCCUACAUUUAUUUAACCACAAACCCUGUUUUUGGAAGAAUAUAUUUCAGAAUAAGUAUUCAGUGGAAUCUAGAUAUAGGAAAGUGUAGACCCAAUAAUUGGAAACCUAUUGUUUAGUCCGCCCAGUCCGCCUGGCACAUCCACUUUUUCCGAUAGCACCGUCUCUUCUUCCAAGAACUGCUCCCAGCUCAUUCCUGUGGUCUCCAAGGGAACUGGUGUUUUCUUCUGUGUGCCAUCCCUUGGCCAAAGUGACCCACCUCCCAGCCACUAAGUCCCUUCCCUGGAAAUUUUGAAUUUGGGACCAAUAAUUCUUUUUCUGGUGGUUGAGGCUGCGAGACACAAAACCUAGGCCGAACGCAGUGCUCACGCCUGUAAUCCCAGCACUUUGGGAGGCCAAGGCAGGCAGAUCACAUGAGGUCAGGAGUUCAAGACCAGCCUGGCCAACAUGGUGAAACCCCGUCUGUGCUAAAAAUACAAAAUUUAGCCACGUGUGGUGGUGUGCGCCUGUAAUUCCAGCUACUCAGGAGGCUGAGGCAGAAGAAUCAUUUGAACAUGGGAGGCGGAGGUUGCAGUGAGCCGAGAUUGCACCACCGCACUCCAGCCUGGGUGACAGAGCAAGACUCCUUAGGCCACUGGGACAGUAGAAGAUGUAUUAUCUAAAUUGCCUUAGUUUGAAAGCAACAACGACAGAAAAAUAACACUCUGGCUGAUUUAAGCAAAACAAAAAGAAAUUUGCCGGAAGGAUACUGGGGCCAAAGGGCUGUCUCCUGUUGGGCAGGUUGUGCACUGCACAAUUCAGGUGGUGGGAGAAGUGCUCACUUUUUCAUCUAUGUAGAAUUGCACCUCCUAAAGUUGCACCGUACACUGCCUAUAACACCAUAUGCAGUAGUCCUGCAGGAGUGUCUCACAGAAGUGUUUCUCAAACUCUCUGUGCUGAAGGACCAAGUUUUUAGUGUUAAUGUUAUUAUUCAAAUCCAUUGUAGAUCAAGACUUUGGUAAAUCAAAUACGAAUUACUUGAAAGACAAAAUUUCACUUGAUAUCCCAGCAAUUGUUCUAAAAGUGACUAAGCACUCAGUUUCUGAACUGACCUCACUAUGAACUAGUAACUCAUCAUUUGGGAAAGGGAACUGGUCCACAGACCACAUUUG
rnacentral:lncRNA from 1 species